GAUGAACGCUAGCGGCAGGCUUAACACAUGCAAGUCGAGGGGUAUAGUUCUUCGGAACUAGAGACCGGCGCACGGGUGCGUAACGCGUAUGCAAUCUACCUUUUGCAGAGGGAUAGCCCAGAGAAAUUUGGAUUAAUACCUCAUGGCAUGUGAGAAUGGCAUCAUUUUCACAUUAAAGUCACAACGGCAAAAGAUGAGCAUGCGUCCCAUUAGCUAGUUGGUAAGGUAACGGCUUACCAAGGCAACGAUGGGUAGGGGUCCUGAGAGGGAGAUCCCCCACACUGGUACUGAGACACGGACCAGACUCCUACGGGAGGCAGCAGUGAGGAAUAUUGGACAAUGGGCGCAAGCCUGAUCCAGCCAUGCCGCGUGCAGGAUGACGGUCCUAUGGAUUGUAAACUGCUUUUGUACAGGAAGAAACACUGGUUCGUGAACCAGCUUGACGGUACUGUAAGAAUAAGGAUCGGCUAACUCCGUGCCAGCCGCCGCGGUAAGAC
rnacentral:rRNA from 1 species